rnacentral:rRNA from 1 species
UACGGAGGAUCCGAGCGUUAUCCGGAUUUAUUGGGUUUAAAGGGUGCGUAGGUGGCUUUUUAAGUCAGGGGUGAAAGACGGUAGCUUAACUAUCGCAGUGCCCUUGAUACUGAAGAGCUUGAAUGAACUAGAGGUAGGCGGAAUGUGACAAGUAGCGGUGAAAUGCAUAGAUAUGUCACAGAACACCAAUUGCGAAGGCAGCUGACGAAACUGUAACUGACGCUGAGGCACGAAAGCGUGGGGAUCAAACAGG